UACAGAGGUCUCAAGCGUUGUUCGGAUUCAUUGGGCGUAAAGGGUGCGUAGGCGGCGCGGUAAGUCGGGUGUGAAAUUUCGAGGCUUAACUUCGAAACUGCAUUCGAUACUGCCGUGCUUGAGGACUGGAGAGGAGACUGGAAUUUACGGUGUAGCGGUGAAAUGCGUAGAUAUCGUAAGGAAGACCAGUGGCGAAGGCGGGUCUCUGGACGAGUU
rnacentral:rRNA from 1 species